rnacentral:rRNA from 1 species
CCUACGGGUGGCAGCAGUGGGGAAUAUUGGGCAAUGGGCGCAAGCCUGACCCAGCAACGCCGCGUGAAGGAAGAAGGCUUUCGGGUUGUAAACUUCUUUUAUCAGGGACGAAGCAAGUGACGGUACCUGAUGAAUAAGCCACGGCUAACUACGUGCCAGCAGCCGCGGUAAUACGUAGGUGGCAAGCGUUAUCCGGAUUUACUGGGUGUAAAGGGCGUGUAGGCGGGAAAGCAAGUCAGAUGUGAAAACCAUGGGCUCAACCUGUGGCCUGCAUUUGAUACUGUUUUUCUUGAGUACUGGAGAGGCAGACGGAAGUCAUGGUGUAGCGGUGAAAUGCGUAGAUAGUAGGAGGAACACCAGUGGCGAAGGCAGUCUGCUGGACAGCAACUGACGCUGAGGCGCGAAAGCGUGGGGAGCAAACAGGAUUAGAUACCCGGGUAGUC